rnacentral:rRNA from 1 species
UGGGGAAUAUUGCACAAUGGACGGAAGUCUGAUGCAGCAACGCCGCGUGCGGGAUGAAGGCCUUCGGGUUGUAAACCGCUUUCGAUCACGACGAAUGUGACGGUAGUGAUUAAAGAAGCACCGGCUAACUACGUGCCAGCAGCCGCGGUGAUACGUAGGGUGCGAGCGUUGUCCGGAUUUAUUGGGCGUAAAGAGCUCGUAGGUGGUUUGUUGCGUCGGGAGUGAAAACACACGGCUUAACUGUGUGCUUGCUUUCGAUACGGGCAGACUUGAGGAAGGUAGGGGAGAACGGAAUUCCUGGUGGAGCGGUGGAAUGCGCAGAUAUCAGGAGGAACACCGGUGGCGAAGGCGGUUCUCUGGACCUUUCCUGACGCUGAGGAGCGAAAGCGUGGGGAGCAAACAGG